GGAGCCUGCUUCUCCCUCUGCCUGUGUCUCUGCCUCCCUGUCUGUAUCGCUCAUGAAUAUAUAAAUAAAAUCUUAAAAAAAAAAAAAAAGGGUGGUGGUGGUGGGAGUACAGGGCAAAAACCAAACCCAAACAGGCACCAGAGAUCUCCUGGCACCAGGUGCCCUGUCCCCCAGGGCUCCUGUGUGGGUCCUUAUAGCUGUCUUUAAGAACCCAGGCCGGUGUCCUCUUACAAACUCCAAUAAUCUGGAUUUGUCCCUAAUACCAACUUCUCAAUGGUCUUGCUUUUGAUUCUCUGACUCUCCCUCCUCCUUUUCCACGCACUUGACUGACCUCCCAGUGUUGGUAAUUAAUGAGUUUAGGAUGCAGACGCUGUCUGGAAUAUCUGCAGUGGCGCAUGGAAUUCUAGGGAAGCUAGACUUACCCUGUAAUUUUAACAUGCGACCUCCUGGCCUGGUGUGUGGAGCUCGCCCUCUUGCCCAUACACCGGAGUCGCCACCGCCACUCUGCCUGGGAGACCCGCUAGGGGGGUAAGAUCUCCCGGGGCGGAAGUCAGGAGUACCUCUGUCACUCACUUGCUGUGUGACCUUGGGCAAGUCGUUUGUUCAAUCUGGACUUUGGUUUGUUCUUCUGCAAAAUGCACAGCUGGGACCCAGUGACCUCCCUCUCACGCGCCUUCGGCCCUGCGGCUCGCCCAGCGUCCCUCGCCCUCCCCAACUCUCACUGGCCUCCCACACCCUCCAUUCCAGAGGGAACACCCCUGCCUUUCCUGCCCGAGCCCGGGGUUGGCAGGCACUGGCCUGCAGACAGGACAGGAGGUGGGGGAACCAGCCCAGCCCUUGGAGCCGCCCUUGGUGAGGCUGGCCCAUGGCCAGUCACAACAGGCCGUGAGCUACAGAGGGGUGUUUGUCUGGGGGACCCGGGGUUGCCUUUAAACCUUCACUCUGGCCUCUGGCCCGUUGCCUCUCUCUGCUCCCCACCCUCUGAGAUGGCAGGGCCAGUCCCCAGCUUUGUUAGGAGGUGGGCCUGAGCGUCCCCUGGCGGGGGGCGGUGCUGGGGAAGUGGGCAGAAGAAAGGAGGUGGGUAGAAGGUGAGGGGAGCCACACGGUGGCUGAGGUGAGGGUGGAGGGUGCAGGCAGUAGGGCCGCGGGGAGCGUUUGGGAGGAGAGGGCUAGGCCCUGACUCCCUCACCGGCUAGGCCCCUCACGGGCUAGGCAAGUGAUUGAGAGCAAGGUACUUCCUCCUCCGCUCUGGGCCUCAGUUCCUUGAGCUUUAAAAUGGGAUUGUCCCCCCCACACUCAGCGCUGUGAGGACCAAAUUAGAUAAAAUGAAGAAUUUGCAAACAGUGUGUUGUGAUGAAGGAAAUCGUUUGGACUCAGAUGGACCCCAGCUCAAAUCCCACCUCGGUCACCUCCACACUCACUGUCGUGAGCAACUUAUUUACCCUCCAUGAGUCUCAUUUUCCCCAUCUGAGGAAGCAAAGGUAUGUGUGCAGCUGGACCAGGCUUGAACAAGAAUUGACAGAAAGGGCCCUGCCCAACAAAACCAUCUGACCGAAUGAAGAAUUGGUCAGGGCCGCGUUGUGGCUUUUGUGCCCCCUACCCCCACGGUAAUAAAUUUUCAUGGGCUUUAAAUAUUUAUUUUUUCCUGAUGUGAAAAAAAUUGUGAGAAAAACAUGUAAAGGGAUCCCUGGGUGGCUCAGCGGUUUAGCGCCUGCCUUUGGCCCAGGGCGUGAUCCUGGGGUCCCAGGAUCGAGUCCCGCAUCGGGCUCCCUGCAUGGAGCCUGCUUCUCCCUCUGCCUGUGUCUCUGCCUCUCUUAUGAAUAAAUAAUAAAAUCUUUUAAAAAUAUAAAGAAAUAUGAUGUGAUGUGAGAAAAAGAUGGAAACAUUUUCUACCUCUCUGGAAGCUGGCUUUCUUCCCCUCUGAUUUUCAAAGAAGUUAAAUAUUUUGGAGGGCCCUUAAAAGUUUUGUGAGCUCCGUGUCUGCUGUGCCCAGUGGGUAAGCCAGCCCUGGAACUGCCUCGCGGUUCUCUCAGGGCUGACCUGUCCCAGGUGCCACCGCGAAGGCCUGAGGGUGCCCAGGGUCGUCUCUGCAGCAUCGCUCAUGGAACCCAGAAUCCAGGAAUGCAGACCCUCACUCCCACAGAGCUGAGCCACAGGCCCCUGUCUUUGCCAGACUCUAGCUUCAAGGCUGGGUGAGGCCUAUCCCGAGGCUGACAGCCUGAGAGGACCACAGGCGGGCAGGCUGGGAGCAUCCGGGGCCCCGGGUGUGUGAGCUGGGCCUGGUUCCCAAGGAGCUGCGGUGGGGGACAAUGGACACUUAGCAGGCAGUCAUGACUGCUCAGGCUGGGCUCCUCCUCUGGGCCUAGCACUGUGCUUGGCCUUCGUGGUCACAAUCUCAUCUAAUCCUCAUUGCACUCUUUCUGCUUUACACCCAAGGAACCGGAGGCUCAGAGAGGCCCAGUAACCCACCCAAAGUCACAGAGCUACCAAAGCAGGAGUGGGACCUGGUUUUCUGCUUCCCAAACCAGAGGCCUCCCAGUACCCAACACUUCGGCCUCUGAGUUAGAGGAAACGUGGAAGACGCUUUUAUGGUGUGCAGAAUGUGCAAGGCAGUGUGAGUCUGGGGUCCAAGGAAAUACAAAAAUGAGCAGGAGUGGUAUAAGGGGUGUAAGGCAUACUCCUGGGGGUGCUGAGCCACAGGGAGCAGGGGGCGAGCACCUGAGCAUGUGCCUCCAUGGGCCAGUGCAUCCCCAGGUGGUCCCGAGGGAGCUAAGCCAGGUGGGGCUGUUGCUAAACACACUAAGAGAUGCUUCAUUUCCUCGCGCAGCUGCCCAGAGCCACGUCUGUUUACCCACGAAUGACAGCAGAUGCCGCACUCUGCUAAAGCCUAUGUUCAGGGACCAUGACAGCCUCAGAAAAAGGGGCUCAGAGUCACAGAAGGAGGGUGGUUAUUGGCAGGGUGGGGGCCUUGGGCUCUGGAGGGCACCAAGGGAGUGUCUCCAGGGUGGGGGGCGCCCUGUCUCCACCCCAGUCACCCCACGGCCAAGUGGAGUGAGAUACAUCCCGAGUGUGCCUCUCCGCCUUGCCUCUCCACUCUCAGGAGCCAUUAGCUGAACAGCCACCGACAGAGCUUCAUGGCCACAGCCCACUGGCCAGACCCUCAGCGGCCUCUCAUCGGCUGAGCUGAAUGAAGUCCAAACGGCUCAGCAGGUUUUCUAUUGCCUGGCAGCGCGGAGACACGUACUUUCCAACACGGUAGCCGGGGCUCACGCGGGCCUCCCGAGGCCUGGAAACGCAGCUGGGGUGAAGCGGGACGUGAUGCACCCGUGAAAUACCCACGGGAUCUCAAAGACUGAGUCCAAAGUAGAAGAAUUAGAAAUACUCCAGUAUUAGAUAUUGUAUUAAAUACUCCAGUACUAAAAAAAAUUUUAAAAAUAAAAA
rnacentral:lncRNA from 1 species